rnacentral:lncRNA from 1 species
GACUUGGCCGGAUUUAUGUUCAUGGCUGAGGAUGCCAUGGGCCGAGUAAGAAGGAGAACCGCCACCCAACCACGCAGCCAAGAGCAACCCAGGGAUCCCUCCUCUGCUUGCUCCCCUCCCCCACCCCUGCUGUACCUUCUGCGCAGCCAUCUCGGUAACGGGCGUCAGGGGCGCUCGGCGGCCUGCUGUCCAAGCUGGGGUCAGGAGCCUGGCGGUAGCAAAGAGCAUCACCGAAAGGAAGCUGGUAGGCUAGCGAGGCCAGCCCCAAAGACCCACAGAUACACGCGCUGCUCCGAACUCGCGGGCCCGCGGCGUCCACUAAUGAGAUGAACCUGGGCGCGCAGCGGCUGGACCUCAGCUGCUAGGGCGCCGCCAAGGCCCUGCUGGACACCUUCUGGUACCUGGGCCUCGUGUAUUACACCUGUGGCUGCCGCCGAGGCGCGGUUCAAUUUGAAGUCUGAGCCCCUACAGGCCCGUGAAUCCUGGAUUACAACUGCAGUUUGUGCAAGAAGCAGCAGCACCUGCACUUCCACUUAGCAACCUCCGGCUUCACGCUCCUCCAGGGCGCAGAGAGCAUCAAAGCAUUAUCACCGACCCAACACACACCGGCGCUGCGUAGUUUCUGCAGCAGGUGUGGGGUGAAGAGUUGCCACACAGCUGUCUGACACCGGGUGUACGGCGUCACCCCUCACUUCCUGGACAAGGCAACAUUUUCCUAAAGGUCAAAGGAGAAAAAUCCUAUCAUCUGAGGUGCUGAACAAAGAAUUCAAUAAAUUCAAUCAAUCU